rnacentral:rRNA from 1 species
UACGUAGGGUGCAAGCGUUAAUCGGAAUUACUGGGCGUAAAGCGUGCGCAGGCGGUUUUGUAAGUUUGUCGUGAAAGCCCCGGGCUCAACCUGGGAAUUGCGAUGAAGACUGCAAGGCUUGAAUCUGGCAGAGGGGGGGUAGAAUUCCACGUGUAGCAGUGAAAUGCGUAGAGAUGUGGAGGAACACCAGCGGCGAAGGCGGCAUCCUGGACUGGUCCUGACACUCGAGGAGCGAAAGCGUGGGGAGCGAUCCGG